rnacentral:misc_RNA from 1 species
GUAGGUGAACCUGCGGAAGGAUCAUUAUCGAAAUAAAUCUGAACAGGCUGUUGCUGGUCGGAAGACAUGUGCACGCUUGUCCUCUUUAUUUUUCCAACUGUGCACAUAUUGUAGACCUUUUUGAGGGAAUGAUGGCCAAGGUCUAUGUUACAUUUAACAACUUGUUGUAGAAUGGGGGGAUAUGAAACAAACAUACAACUUUCAGCAACGAAUCUCUUGGCUCUC